rnacentral:rRNA from 1 species
AUAUUAGAGUCGAGCUGCGCUCCUUGCGGUUACCGCUACCCACUUCUGGUGUAACAAGCUCCCAUGGUGUGACGGGCGGUGUGUACAAGACCCGGGAACGUAUUCACCGCGACAUGCUGAUCCGCGAUUACUAACGAUUCCCACUUCAUGGAGUCGAAUUGCAGACUCCAAUCCGGACUAGAAAACGCUUUUUGAAAUUAGCUCCCCCUCGCGGGUUUUCGGUUCUUUGUUGUACCAUUGUAUGACGUGUGAAGCCCUACCCAUAAGGGGCAUGAAGACUUGACGUCAUCCCCACCUUCCUCCGGUUUGUCACCGGCAGUCUCAUUAAAAUGGCCUUUUAAUGGACGAAAGACAAAGGUUGCGCUGUUGCGGUACUUAAACUAACCCCUCACGACACGAACUGACGACAACAAUGCCCACCUGUGCUGCGGUUCUCUUUCCAAAGGAAAAAAUCUAUUCCUGGGUUUGACCAAGGAGGGGGUAACUUGGGUUUUUCCUGUUGGUUCCUAUUAAUUAACAUCAUCCACCGCUUGUGGGGGUCGCCCCCCAUUCCUUUGAUUUUUUUCUUGCUGACCGGCCUCCCCCCCGCGGGCUACUUCAUGCGUGCGUUGCUUUACCAAGUAAAGGUAAGACACCGACCACUAGUAUUACAUC